rnacentral:rRNA from 1 species
AACGCUGGCGGCAUGCUAAGACUGCAGUCGAACGAAGAUCGGACGAAUGAGAUACUGUAUUGAAUGAGUCUAAUAUCUUAGUGGCGAACGGGUGAGUAACAGGUAGGUAAUCUACCCUAGAGACGGGGAUAACGUUUGGAAACGAACGCUAAUACCGGAUAGUAUAGUAAACCGCAUGGUUAAGUAUUUAAAGGUGCUUCGGCAUCACUCUAGGAGGAGCCUGCUUCGUAUUAGCUAGUUGGUAAGGUAACGGCUUACCAAGGCAAUGAUGCGUAGCCGAGCUGAGAGGCUGAUCGGCCACACUGGAACUGAGACACGGUCCAGACUCCUACGGGAGGCAGCAGUUAGGGAUAUUCGGCAAUGGGGGAAACCCUGACCGAGCAAUGCCGCGUGAACGAAGAAGUAUUUCGAUAUGUAAAGUUCUGUUGUUAAGGAAGAAAGAUAGUGAUAGGAAAUGAUCAUUAUUUGACGGUACUUGACCAGAAAGCCCCUGCUAACUACGUGCCAGCAGCAGCGGUAAUACGUAGGGGGCGAGCGUUAUCCGGAAUUAUUGGGCGUAAAGGGUGCGUAGGCGGCCUAUUAAGUCAGAGUUGAAAGCCCA